GUGAGAGUUAAGCCCAGUGCAAGAACUGGCUAGAGAGGGGAGGGCAGGCUCCCUAAGGGUCAAGAGAACCUGAAAUUGUUGUUAGUUCACGUUCGGUUUUAUUGUCCUCCUGUUUCAGCAGCUCUAUGAGGUGGCCCCAGUAAAGAGCCCUCUAAUAUCCUGUCAGUAUGUCCAGCCUUGUUCUUGGCUGGCUUUAAAAUCAGUUUUCCACCAAAUUGUAUCCUGAACGACUUCUAUGGAUGAUCGGGAAGACAGAACUUCAUAGAAGGGGGUGGUAGACUUGUCAACUAAAGCCGCAGAGCUGGAGAGGCAGCAGUGCACUGAAUAAAUGAAUGCUAAAAAUAACAACAGCAGGAAAACUGCCUGUCAAAAAAAAAAAAAAGAUAAAACAUUAAAAAAUCCAGAUGAAAAUAAAGUGGAAGCUCUGAGGAAGCUGCCUGCUACAGACCUCGCUGCCGGAUCAAGAAACGGACGCUGGCCUCCGAAGGGCUCAGCACAUGCCUGAGGGGAGCCUCUGGUGCAUCAGGAGGUCAGGCCCAGGUUAUUGCCUGAUGGGAGUAGAUACUCCAGCACGCUGUUUGCACAAGUGAGGCAGUUUCACCAGAUUUCCAGGCGCAGUUCCAGGCUUUCUGGUGGCAUAACUGCUGCCCAGGCGUGGGAUCUCUUACCACACAAGGAUUCCUUCUGGGCAAUGAACAACAGCUAAUCCGAAGAUUCCAGAACUUCCUUUGCAAAGGCCAUCAGUCAAGUCAAGCUUCAAGUGAAUUCAACCAGUGCUUACUGAAAACUGACCCCAGAGUACCAGUGGCCUUCCUUCCUGCGUCUCCUUUACCCAGGCACUGAGCUGGGGAACAGGGAAUCUUCUCUGGUCCUCACAUCACCCUGAGAGGCAGCCGUGGCUCUCCCUGCUGUAUAGACAAAGUAAGUGGGGCUCAGUUCCAAGCUCCUGCCAGCAGGUGCUGGAGAUGGAGAUUGUCUGACUCCAAAGCCAUGCUCCUCCGAUUUCACCCAAGUCCAACCACCUACCACAUGUGCAAGAACACAGAAGCCUCCUGAAAAUCCCAACUCAGCAACACUGACCAGGGCUCAUGAUGUGCCAGGCACACUCCCAUGCAGGAGUGACAGAGCAGUGAGCCAAAACCCCUACCCCUGGAAAAGCUCAUGUUUUGAGACGCCCACCCAGGGAGGCAAGCAAGGGUGGAGUGGACCACCUUACUAGCUCGGCCCCUCGGCUCUCCAGACAGAACCCUUUGCCAUGGGCCUCCCCCACUGCCCUGCCCUGGCCAUGCCCAAAGUGUGGUGCCCUCCCAACCCCUGGGCUCUGGAAGCACUAACUCUCCUCCCAGGAAGCCCCGUCUCCUGGUAUCCACCUGGGCUGGCUCCUCAACUCAAGCUUCCAGACUCAGUGCAAGCUCAUCAGAAAGCCAUUUCUGCCCAUCCUUCCCCCACUCAGAGUUAGGUCAUCCUCCUCCUCAUCAUCCUCCUCGUCCUCCUCAUCAUCCUCCUCGUCCUCCCCCUCCUCCUCCCAGCUCUCUAUGCCCUCCUCAGCCAUACAGCUUGACGUUCACAAAGGAUCUAUGCUGAGACCUUUGCAAACACCGAUUCACAAAUCCUCCAGUAGCAUGGAAUUGCCAUACAAUGCAAAGAAAUAAAAGGGAAACAUUUAUGCCACCCUUCCACCCUUUAAUGAUUCAAUAAAUUCAUGGGUGAAGUCAUUUAUAAAAACUAUUAAAAUAAAUUCUUCCACCCAAAUAAAUUCUAUGCCACUUAAUCACAUCAUUACUGAACAUUAAACAUGCACUCACCGAAAUAGGAUAGAAUACAAAAAUAAUAAGGAAUGCAAAUGUUUGGUGUUUGCUGUGUCAGGUACCAGGCAAAGCUCUUUCUACAUUCACUUGCUUAAUCCGAACAAUGAGCCUAGGAGGCACACACCAAACAGUUCUCAUUGCUCAGGAAGGGAGCGGGGAGCAUGGACCUUGGAACUGGCUGGCAUUCGAAUCCUAGCACUAGCAUUUCUAAUGGUGUGACUGGGAAAGAAUGUUUCUACCUCUCUGUUUCCCCCUCUGGUACCCCAGAGUACCAGUGGCCUUCCUUCCUGCGUCUCCUUUACCCAGGCACUGAGCUGGGCAACAGGGAAUCUUCUCUGGUCCUCACAUCACCAUGCGAGGCAGCCACAGCUCUCCCUGCUGUACAGACAAAGUAAGUAGGGCUCAGUUCCAAGCUCCUGCCAGCCGGUGCUGGAAAUGGAGACUGUUUGACUCCGAAGCCAUGCUCCUCCGAUUUCACCGAAGUCCAACCACCUACCACAUGUGCAAGAACACAGAAGCCUCCUGAAAAUCCCAACUCAGCAACACUGACCAGGGCCCAUGAUGUGCCAGGCACACUCACAGGCAGGAGCAACAGAGCAGUGAGCCAAAACCCCCACUCCUGAAGAAGCUCAUGUUUUGAGACGCCCACCCAGUUUCCUCCUCUGCAAAUGAGGCUCAUUGUCCCCACCACAAGCCUGAACCCCAGGGCCUGGCCCAGAGCCAGGCACACAUUCUCAUUCUCACUUGCUGAGUGUUGAGUGUUGAGAUUCGUCCAGUCCAGUGCAGCAUCCUGAGCCAGAACAUAAGCAGCCACACUAUAAGUUACCUUCCUGGGUGUGUGAUGACAGUUAAGAUGCUGGUAACAUCUGUAUUUUGGAUUUUCUCUGCAAGACUUAUUUGGGACAAUACGUUCUUGGAUUGGUACCUGGCUUCUUGAUAGGAUCAUGACCUCAUAGAAUCACUGGUGCGACUCAACUCUGAUGCUUAAUUGAUCCACAAAUGGUUGUCGUGGCUCUGGAGGGACCAAAUGAAUGGGGAGCCUGCCUGGGCUGGUUGCACCGUUGUCCAUUUAGUUUGAAUAUAUAGAGGGCUUCCCGUGGAGGCUAGGAAUCAAGAAGAAUCCUGAUCCGGGUUCAGGGGAAUGAGGCGGGAGUGCUCUGAGGAUGCCGGAGUGGUGAUUAACACAAGGCAGGUGCUGGAGGAGGUGAGCAGUGUCCCCCGCACCAUGCAUUUCCAUGGGGCCUGGCUGAGGUCCUGCCAUGGGGUGUGCUGCAUAGGGCUGGGGCACAAGGGAGAAUGAGACCUCAUCCCUGCCCUUGGGGACAUGGGACUCCCAGGUUUGAGAAAAUUCAACCACACAAAUUAAAACGAUUACGA
rnacentral:lncRNA from 1 species